GACGAACGCUGGCGGCGUGCCUAAUACAUGCAAGUCGAGCGGACUUAAAAUGCUUGCUUUUUAAGUUAGCGUCGGACGGGUGAGUAACACGUGUGCAACCUGCCUGUAUGACUGUGAUAACUUCUCGAAACCGUAGCUAUUACCCGAUAUUCCUUUUCUUCUUAUGUAGAAAAGCUGAAAGACUGUUUACGCUGUCACUUACACAUGGGCCCUCUCCGCAUUAGCUAGUUGGUGUGGUAACGCCUCACCAUGGCGACUAUGCGUAGCCGAACUGAGAGAGUGAUAGGCCGCACUGGGAGUGAGACACGGACCAGACGACUAAGGGAGGCAGCAGAAGGGAAUCGUACGCAAUAGACGAGAGUAUGACGGAGCAACGCGGAGUGAGAGAUGAAGGUGUUCGGAUCGUAAAAAUCGGUUGUUAGGGAAGAACAAGUACGAGAGUAACUGCUCGUACCGUGACGGUAACUAGUCAGAAAGCAACGGCUAACUACGUG
rnacentral:rRNA from 1 species